CAUUGAAUUAUGGCUGAGUAUAAAUGCAUAUAUGAUUAGUGAAUAAAUGUGGUAAAUGAAUGAUGAUGGAAAAUGUUGAAUGUGACGUGUGACUCUGGGUAGUAGGCAUUGGCGUUGUCCACUUGUUCCGGGUAUGAGACAGGAAAGGAGGAUUUUGAUAAAUGAGUUUAAUUAUGGAGUUUUAGAUGAAUAU